rnacentral:tRNA from 1 species
GGGAUAGAAGCUCAGUGGUUGAGCAAUCGAUUGCAGCUUCCUGCGCGAUUUAAGUUACGCGAUAAUUGCAUAAGCAUCGAUAGGCCGCGCGUUCGAUCCGCGCCUGUCCCU